GACCCAUUGGCGCAGAAGGCAGCGCGCCCACUCCAAAUGUAGGGUUUGUUUCCUAUUAUUGCGUGGGAGGUCCCAGUUCGAAUCCGGGAUCGGUUC